CUGGUUGAUAGGUCGAAGGUGUAAGUGCAGCAAUGUAUUUAGCUUAUCGAUACUAAUAGGUCGAGGACUUGACCAA
rnacentral:rRNA from 1 species